rnacentral:lncRNA from 1 species
AUUCUCAAACUUUUGUCAUUUCACUUCUCUCAAAACCACUUUAGUGGACCUGUUCUCUGUAAGGUCACUACUGCCCUCCACUUCAAAUUCCAUUGUCUCCUCAAGUCCUCAACUUAGUCAUUUGACUAAUGUUAUUAUUUCCUUCUUCUUGAAACACUUUUCUUCCUUCUGGGAUCCUCUGCUCUCCUAGUACUUCUCCUACCUUCCUGGGUGCUCUCUGCACUCCUAAUAACCAAGCAGCUCACUUUUCCCUGGAGGCCCGCCAUUGUUCCUGGUCACUACACCUAGACUUUGAGAAGAAACCAGAAAUGGAUAACCUGGAUAUGUUCUCGUGGCAAACACAGAAGUAAGUGAAAACACUCAAGGCCUUUUGAGACCUGGACCUGGAACUGGCCCACCAUCACUUCCACCACAUUCUAUUGCCCAAAACAAGUUACAGGGCCAGCCCAGAUUCAAAGGAAAGGAAAAUAGACUCUGGCUCUUCAGUGGAUGAAAUUCCAAGGUCACCUGGUAAAGGAAGAGGUGAAGAAGUAAGGUCAUUAAUGUAAUCUUUCAUACUGUAACACUUGCUUUUUGACUUAGAAGGUUGAGUGUGUUUUGUAUGUCAAUCACACCUCAGUAAAACGGUUUUUAAAACAAGAAGAUUGAAUGUUUAUUUCCUUCCCUUUCAGCUCAAAGUUUCUAUACUUUAAAACAUCCAAAUAGUACAAUAUAAGCAGCGCUGGCUUUUUGGUUUGAAUUAUUAGAUAUUGUUUCAGUUCUCCAUUUCUAUAGAGGCAGACAUCAAAGACAGAAGUAUGGAAAGUGUGAUUUCACUCAUAAAUAUCCCAGUAGAACUUAAAGACAAUAUUUUAAGUAACCAACUAAAGACUCAUCUUGAACAGAAGUUAGAUAACAUCACCCACAAUCUUAGAGUUUAUUUAUUUUAUUUUAUAUUAAAGAUAAGGAUGUUCUCCCUACAUCUGAUGUCUUCACUGGAAGAGAGGCUGUGCAAAAAGGUGCUUAAAUUGUAUGUCAUUCACAAAAGGGAACAAAGGAGCUGCCACUAUUACUGCCGUUGCCAUGGCCAUAUCAUAUUAAAUCAGGAUAGAGGAGGUUAUUGAAACGGCUCUUCAAAUAAGGUAUCUUCUCAUAAGACGUCUCUGCCAGCGAAAUCAGUUGGAACAUUGGGUACAGAGUGUCCAGUGGAGAGAACGUACAAAAUACUCAAGCCGACGAAGAUCCAGUGAAUCAAAUGGCCUUGCUGUGCUCCACUCAACACUAUUUCUGUCUUGCAUGAGGUGUGUGUCCUGAAUUUGAUUUACUAUCUUUAAUGUCAUUCAUCCACAGUCCAUAGUAUAUAUAUGUGGAUGCAGCAAGGUGCUCCAAUUAGGACCUGGAAAUCCACUACAGUCCAGUUGAAGCAUAACGAUUUGAAACAUAUAAAAUGGUGGAGAGGAAGAGGGAUGUGAAGGCAACGAGUUCCUAAUGUCCUGCUUAGAAAGAAAGGGCAAUGCAGAACGGUGAUUAAGCAGCCAAAUAUCUGUGACAGUCUCAGGCUUGAGUCCAGGCUCUGCCACUGCUCGCUACGUGACUUCAGCUAGAAUAUCCCUACAGAAAAUGUCAGAUCUCGGCCGGGCGCGGUAGCUCACGCCU